rnacentral:rRNA from 1 species
GACGAACGCUGGCGGCGUGCCUAAUACAUGCAAGUAGAACGCACAGUUUAUACCGUAGCUUGCUACACCAUAGACUGUGAGUUGCGAACGGGUGAGUAACGCGUAGGUAACCUGCCUGGUAGCGGGGGAUAACUAUUGGAAACGAUAGCUAAUACCGCAUAAUAUUAAUUAUUGCAUGAUAAUUAAUUGAAAGGUGCAAUUGCACCACUACCAGAUGGACCUGCGUUGUAUUAGCUAGUAGGUGAGGUAACGGCUCACCUAGGCGACGAUACAUAGCCGACCUGAGAGGGUGAUCGGCCACACUGGGACUGAGACACGGCCCAGACUCCUACGGGCGGCAGCAGUAGGGAAUCUUCGGCAAUGGACGAAAGUCUGACCGAGCAACGCCGCGUGAGUGAAGAAGGUUUUCGGAUCGUAAAGAUCUGUUGUAAGAGAAGAACGGGUGUGAGAGUGGAAAGUUCACACUGUGACGGUAUCUUACCAGAAAGGGACGGCUAACUACGUG